rnacentral:sRNA from 1 species
UAAACUAGGCUGGGGCCCUUGGGCACACA